AUGCCCACAACAACAGAUGCUUCCCACCAAGGGACUCCACCGUAUAUUGGCCAAUUUCCUUGGACAUAUGGACGGACCCUUUCAAUCAAACCUUCAUUGUUAGCCUCAGCAAGGGUUUGCUAGUACGUAAUAACAAAAAAAAAAAAACAAAAACUGAUUUAUUAUGCCCAAUUCAUUUGAAUAUAUUUUCUAUGUAAACAAAAAAGUAACAUCAACUUACCUAUCCAAUUUGCUCCAUAAAACAAACUCUCCCCAAAAAGGGUGAUGGUGUUUGCCUCCCGUGCCAAAUCAUGUAGUUCAUAAUCACAUCAAGGUGCUGAAAAGUUAUAAAAUUAGCAUUAAAU
rnacentral:lncRNA from 1 species